rnacentral:misc_RNA from 1 species
GGCGUGCAGAUAUCGAUCAAAUUUGGGAAUGGCUAAACCAAGCGAAACAGGGAUGGAAGCCCUGCACCACCUGAAAUCCACGGACCCUCCAGCAUUGUUGGCACCAUCGCCCACGCUCUCCCAAACAGCGCGGACGGCGUCUCAACACCUAUUCUCUUGCCUCAAACCAUACGCUCCUAAAUCGCCGUUCGAUCAACUUUUAACUGAUGGCUUUGAUGCCGAGCAGAUUUGGCAGCAAAUUGACCUGC